rnacentral:rRNA from 1 species
UACAGAGGGUGCGAGCGUUAAUCGGAAUUACUGGGCGUAAAGCGUGCGUAGACGGUUAUUUAAGUCGGGUGUGAAAGCCCCGGGCUCAACCUGGGAAUUGCAUUCGAGACUGAAUAGCUAGGGUACGGUAGAGGGAAGUGGAAUUUCCGGUGUAGCGGUGAAAUUCGUAGAUAUUCGCAAAGAACACCAGUGGCGAAGGCGGCUCACUGGCCCGAUACUGACGCUGAGGUGCGAAAGCGUGGGGGAGCAAACA